GAUGAACGCUGGCGGCGUGCCUAAUACAUGCAAGUCGAGCGAACAGACGAGGAGCUUGCUCCUCUGACGUUAGCGGCGGACGGGUGAGUAACACGUGGAUAACCUACCUAUAAGACUGGGAUAACUUCGGGAAACCGGAGCUAAUACCGGAUAAUAUAUUGAACCGCAUGGUUCAAUAGUGAAAGACGGUUUUGCUGUCACUUAUUGAUGGAUCCGCGCCGCAUUAGCUAGUUGGUAAGGUAACGGCUUACCAAGGCAACGAUGCGUAGCCGACCUGAGAGGGUGAUCGGCCACACUGGAACUGAGACACGGUCCAGACUCCUACGGGAGGCAGCAGUAGGGAAUCUUCCGCAAUGGGCGAAAGCCUGACGGAGCAACGCCGCGUGAGUGAUGAAGGUCUUCGGAUCGUAAAACUCUGUUAUUAGGGAAGAACAAAUGUGUAAGUAACUAGGCACGUCUUGACGGUACCUAAUCAGAAAGCCACGGCUAACUACGUG
rnacentral:rRNA from 1 species